UGUCCCAUGGCUUAGUUGGUUACGGCGUCCGACUGUUAUAUCCAAUCAUCGGAAGAUCGAGAGUUCGAGUCUCUCUGGGACAG
rnacentral:tRNA from 1 species